rnacentral:rRNA from 1 species
GACGAACGCUGGUGGCGUGCUUAACACAUGCCAGUCGAACGGGAUUUCGUAAACAGAAGCCUCGGUGGAAGAUUACUAAUGAGAGUGGCGAACGGGUGAGUAACGCGUGAGCAACCUGCCUAUGACAGUGGGAUAGCCUCGGGAAACCGGGAUUAAUACCGCAUAAAAUCGUAGAAACACAUGUUUUAACGGUCAAAGAUUUAUCGGUCAUAGAUGGGCUCGCGUCUGAUUAGCUAGUUGGUGAGAUAACAGCCCACCAAGGCGACGAUCAGUAGCCGGUCUGAGAGGAUGAACGGCCACAUUGGAACUGAGACACGGUCCAAACUCCUACGGGAGGCAGCAGUGGGGAAUAUUGCACAAUGGGGGAAACCCCGAUGCAGCGACGCCGCGUGAACGAAGAAGGUAUUCGUAUCGUAAAGUUCUGUCCUAUGGGAAGAUAAUGACAGUACCAUAGAAGAAAGCUCCGGCUAAAUACGUG